rnacentral:rRNA from 1 species
CCUACGGGAGGCAGCAGUAGGGAAUUUUGCGCAAUGGGCGCAAGCCUGACGCAGCAACGCCGCGUGAACGAGACGCCCUUCGGGGUGUAAAGUUCUGUCAGUGGGGACGAAAAAUGCCGGUACCCACAGAGGAAGCACCGGCUAACUCCGUGCAAGCAGCCGCGGUAAUACGGAGGGUGCAAGCGUUGUCCGGAAUCAUUGGGCGUAAAGAGUUCGUAGGCGGCAUGUAAAGUCAGGUGUUAAAUGCGCAGGCUCAACUUGGGUAUGGCACUUGAUACUUGCAAGCUGGAGUGCGGUAGAGGUAAAGGGAAUGCCUGGUGUAGCGGUGAAAUGCUUAGAGAUCAGGAGGAACAUCGGUGGCGAAGGCACGUUACUAGGCCGUAAUUGACGCUGAGGAACGAAAGCCAGGGGAGCAAAUGGGAUUAGAUACCCUUGUAGUC